rnacentral:rRNA from 1 species
CGCGUAGGUGGCUCUAUAAGUCGGGGGUGAAAUGCUGCGGCUCAACCGCAGCGCUGCCUCCGAGACUGUAGGGCUCGAGCACGGUAGAGGCCGAUGGAAUUCCCGGUGUAGCGGUGGAAUGCGUAGAGAUCGGGAAGAACACCAAUGGCGAAGGCAGUCGGCUGGGCCGUUGCUGACACUGAGGCGCGACAGCGUGGGGAGCAAACAGGAUUAGAUACCCUGGUAGUCCACGCCGUAAACGAUGGGCACUAGGCGUCGGGGGGAGCGACCCUCCCGGUGCCGUCGCUAACGCAGUAAGUGCCCCGCCUGGGGAGUACGGCCGCAAGGUUGAA